UGGGGAAUAUUGCACAAUGGGCGCAAGCCUGAUGCAGCCAUGCCGCGUGUGUGAAGAAGGCCUUCGGGUUGUAAAGCACUUUCAGCGAGGAGGAAGGUGGUGAACUUAAUACGUUCAUCAAUUGACGUUACUCGCAGAAGAAGCACCGGCUAACUCCGUGCCAGCAGCCGCGGUAAUACGGAGGGUGCAAGCGUUAAUCGGAAUUACUGGGCGUAAAGCGCACGCAGGCGGUUUGUUAAGUCAGAUGUGAAAUCCCCGGGCUCAACCUGGGAACUGCAUUUGAAACUGGCAAGCUAGAGUCUCGUAGAGGGGGUAGAAUUCCAGGUGUAGCGGUGAAAUGCGUAGAGAUCUGGAGGAAUACCGGUGGCGAAGGCGGCCCCCUGGACGAAGACUGACGCUCAGGUGCGAAAGCGUGGGGAGCAAACAGAUUAGAUACCCUGGUAGUCCACGCUGUAAACGAUGUCGAUUUUGGAGGUUGUGCCCUUGAGGCGUGGNUUCCGGAGCUAACGCGUUAAAUCGACCGCCUGGGGAGUACGGCCNCAAGGUUAAAACUAAAUGAAUUGC
rnacentral:rRNA from 1 species